rnacentral:rRNA from 1 species
GAUGAACGCUGGCGGCGUGCCUAAUACAUGCGAGUCGAGCGAACAGAUAAGGAGCUUGCUCCUUUGACGUUAGCGGCGGACGGGUGAGUAACACGUGGGUAACCUACCUAUAAGACUGGAAUAACUCCGGGAAACCGGGGCUAAUGCCGGAUAACAUUUAGAACCGCAUGGUUCUAAAGUGAAAGAUGGUUUUGCUAUCACUUAUAGAUGGACCCGCGCCGUAUUAGCUAGUUGGUAAGGUAACGGCUUACCAAGGCAACGAUACGUAGCCGACCUGAGAGGAUGAUCGGCCACACUGGAACUGAGACACGGUCCAGACUCCUACGGGAGGCAGCAGUAGGGAAUCUUCCGCAAUGGGCGAAAGCCUGACGGAGCAACGCCGCGUGAGUGAUGAAGGUCUUCGGAUCGUAAAACUCUGUUAUUAGGGAAGAACAAAUGUGUAAGUAACUGUGCACGUCUUGACGGUACCUAAUCAGAAAGCCACGGCUAACUACGUG